UUACAUGCUGGGCAGGCUGACCACUGCAAUUCCCCCAAGGUGGUUCUCCCAGGGUGGGACCUCUCCAUUGCACUCUGGGCAGGCUGACUUCUAUGAGUUUCCCUGAACAGGGGAAACUUGACUGCACAAUUUUGUGGCAAUGGGGGACUCAGUUCACACUUCCUCUAU
rnacentral:snRNA from 14 species